rnacentral:rRNA from 2 species
GUGCCAGCCGCCGCGGUAAUACAUAGGGGGCAAGCGUUAUCCGGAAUUAUUGGGCGUAAAGGGUGCGUAGGAGGCCAUUUAAGUCUUUGGUGUAAGUGCAGUGCUCAACGCUGUGAUGCUAAAGAGACUGGGUGGCUUGAGUGUGGUAGAGGCAAGUGGAAUUCCAUGUGUAGCGGUAAAAUGCGUAAAUAUAUGGAGGAACACCAGUGGCGAAGGCGGCUUGCUGGGCCAUAACUGACACUGAGGCACGAAAGCGUGGGGAGCAAACAGGAUUAGAUACCCUGGUAGUCCACGCCGUAAACGAUGAGUACUAAGUGUUGGAGAAAUUCAGUGCUGUAGUUAACGCAAUAAGUACUCCGCCUGAGUAGUACGUACGCAAGUAUGAAACUCAAAGGAAUUGACGGGACCCCGCACAAGCGGUGAAUCAUGUUGUUUAAUUCGAUGAUACGCGAAGAACCUUACCAGGUCUUGACAUCCCUUGCAAAGCUCUAGAGAUAGAGUGGAGGUUAUCAAGGAGACAGGUGGUGCAUGGUUGUCGUCAGCUCGUGUCGUGAGAUGUUGGGUUAAG